rnacentral:ncRNA from 1 species
CUUAUCAAGAGUGGCGGAGAAUACAGGUUCUGUGAAGCCCGGCAACCUAUUGAGUAAUUAUUUUAUCCAGAUUAUUCAGAAAAGGUGCUAAAUCCUGCGGUUAAACCGGAAGAUGAGG